CUUGGUAACGCAGCUAACGCGUGAAGUAGACCGCCUGGGGAGUACGGUCGCAAGAUUAAAACUCAAAGGAAUUGACGGGGACCCGCACAACGGAUGAUGUGGAUUAAUUCGAUGCAACGCGAAAAACCUUACCUACCCUUGACAUGGAUGGAAUCCGAAGAGAUUUGGGAGUGCUCGAAAGAGAACCAUCACACAGGUGCUGCAUGGCUGUCGUCAGCUCGUGUCGUGAGAUGUUGGGUUAAGUCCCGCAACGAGCGCAACCCUUGUCAUUAGUUGCUACGAAAGGGCACUCUAAUGAGACUGCCGGUGACAAACCGGAGGAAGGUGGGGAUGACGUCAAGUCCUCAUGGCCCUUAUGGGUAGGGCUUCACACGUCAUACAAUGGUACAUACAGAGGGCCGCCAACCCGCGAGGGGGAGCUAAUCCCAGAAAGUGUAUGUAGUCCGGAUUGGAGUCUGCAACUCGACUCCAGGUUGGAUCGCUAUAAUG
rnacentral:rRNA from 1 species